rnacentral:rRNA from 1 species
CCUACGGGAGGCAGCAGUGAGGAAUAUUGGUCAAUGGCCGGAAGGCUGAACCAGCCAAGCCGCGUGAGGGAAGACGGCCCUAUGGGUUGUAAACCUCUUUUGUCGGAGAACAAAACCCGGGACGUGUCCCGGACUGCGUGUAUCCGAAGAAAAAGCAUCGGCUAACUCCGUGCCAGCAGCCACGAUAAUACGGAGGAUGCGAGCGUUAUCCGGAUUUAUUGGGUUUAAAGGGUGCGCAGGCGGAAUGUCAAGUCAGCGGUAAAAUUUCGGGGCUCAACCCCGUCGUGCCGUUGAAACUGGCGUUU